CCCGAUGCAAACUGCGAAUACCGGAGAAUGUUAUCACGGGAGACACACGGCGGGUGCUAACGUCCGUCGUGAAGAGGGAAACAACCCAGACCGCCAGCUAAGGUCCCAAAGUCAUGGUUAAGUGGGAAACGAUGUGGGAAGGCCCAGACAGCCAGGAUGUUGGCUUAGAAGCAGCCAUCAUUUAAAGAAAGCGUAAUAGCUCACUGGUCGAGUCGGCCUGCGCGGAAGAUGUAACGGGGCUAAACCAUGCACCGAAGCUGCGGCAGCGAACGUAUCACCCAAGACAACUUUACGGAGUUGACGAUUGACGGAGCGAAGCGACGUCAAAGCGUUCAUUAAAGUCGAGUUGGCUUAGGGAUACGUUCGUUGG
rnacentral:rRNA from 1 species